GGAUUAGGCAUGCAAGUCGAACGAGGAAGUGCCCCGUAAGGGGCGCAAGCCUAGUGGCGAAAGGGUGAGUAAUGCAUUGAUAACCUGCCUUUGAGAUGGGAAUAACUGCGUUUCGAGCAAUCGGAACUACCGAAAGGGCUGCUAAUACCCAAUAAUACUAUAGGUGCAAAAGCACUUGUGGUCAAAUGCUAGGAAUUCUGUUCCUUGUGCUUAAAGAGGGGUUAAUGUCCUAUCAGCUAGUUGGUGGGGUAAUGGCCUACCAAGGCAAAGACGGGUAGCCGGCUUGAGGGGGUGGUCGGCCACACUGGGACUGAGACACUGCCCAGACUCCUACGGGAGGCUGCAGUCGAGAAUCUUUCGCAAUGCCCGAAAGGGUGACGAAGCGACGCCGCGUGUGGGAAGAAGGCCUUCGGGUUGUAAACCACUGUCGGGAGUUAGGAAAUGCAGGUGCGUUAAUAGCGCACUUGCUUGACUAAGGCUCCAGAGGAAGCCACGGCUAACUCUGUGCCAGCAGCCGCGGUAAUACAGAGGCGGCAAGCGUUGUUCGGAAUUAUUGGGCGUAAAGAGCACGUAGGCGGCCUUGCAAGUCAGUUGUGAAAGCCUUCCGCUUAACGGAAGAACGGCAUCUGAUACUACAGGGCUUGAGUACGGGAGGGGAGAGUGGAACUUCUGGUGGAGCGGUGAAAUGCGUAGAUAUCAGAAGGAACGCCGGCGGCGAAAGCGACUCUCUGGUCCGAAACUGACGCUGAGUGUGCGAAAGCUAGGGGAGCAAACGGGAUUAGAUACCCCGGUAGUCCUAGCCGUAAACGAUGGGCACUAAGUAGAGGGGUUUU
rnacentral:rRNA from 1 species